rnacentral:rRNA from 1 species
GGACUACCAGGGUUUCUAAUCCUGUUCGCUCCCCACGCUUUCGCUCCUCAGCGUCAGUAUCGGCCCAGAGACCCGCCUUCGCCACCGGUGUUCCUCCUGAUAUCUGCGCAUUUCACCGCUACACCAGGAAUUCCAGUCUCCCCUACCGAACUCAAGCCUGCCCGUAUCGACCGCAAGCCUGCAGUUAAGCUGCAGGUUUUCACGAACGACGCGACAAGCCGCCUACGAGCUCUUUACGCCCAAUAAAUCCGGACAACGCUCGCGCCCUACGUCUUACCGCGGCGGCUGGCAC